rnacentral:rRNA from 1 species
AGUAAACCAUAAAUACAAACUUUUAUAUUUUGGCGGCAUUUCAUCUAUUUAGAGGAACCUGUCUUAUAAUCGACAACCCACGCUAAUUCUCACUUUCUCCAUAAAAUUUACAUACCGUCAUCUUAAAAUAAAUUCAAAAAUACAAUUUACAAAAUUACUCUAAGAAGAUAGAUCAAGGCGUAAUCAAUAAGAAAGACAAGAUGUGUUACUUUAAACAUAAUUUAAGGACCUAAAAUCAAAAUUCCAGUAAAAAAAGGAUUUAAUAGUAAUUAUUAAAAAUUAAUUAAUGUUGAAAUAGAUUAUUAAU